rnacentral:rRNA from 1 species
AGUGAACGCUAGCGGUAGGCCUAACACAUGCAAGUCGAACGGCAGCACAGGUAAGAUUGCACUCUGGAUGGCGAGUGGCGGACGGGUGAGGGAUUCAACGGAAUCCGCCCAAUCGGGGGGGCUAACGUAAGGGAACAUACGCUAAUACCACAUACGCCCUUCGGGAUAUUUAGGGGGUUCAAAAGGCCUCUCGCUAUAGGAUGGGCCGGUGUCGGAUUAGCUAGUUGGUGGGGUAAUGGCCCACCAAGGCGACGAUCCGUAGCUGGUCUGAGAGGAUGAUCAGCCACACUGGAAGGGAGACACGGCCCAGACUCCUACGGGAGGCAGCAGUGGGGAAUAUUGGACAAUGGGCGCAAGCCUGAUCCAGCCAUACCGCGUGGGUGAAGAAGGCCUUUGGGUUGUGAAGCCCUUUUGUUGGUAAAGAAAUCUUUCAGGCUAAUACCCUGGGAGGAUGACGGUACCCAAAGAAUAAGCACCGGCUAACUUCGUG